GGGGAUUUAGCUCAGUGGUAGAGCGCUUGCCUAGCAAGCUCAAGAUCCUGGGUUCGGUCCCCAGCUCCG
rfam:Rattus norvegicus chromosome 18, whole genome shotgun sequence.